UACGUAGGGUGCAAGCGUUAAUCGGAAUUACUGGGCGUAAAGCGUGCGCAGGCGGUUCUAUAAGACAGAUGUGAAAUCCCCGGGCUCAACCUGGGAACUGCAUUUGUGACUGUAGAGCUGGAGUACGGCAGAGGGGGAUGGAAUUCCGCGUGUAGCAGUGAAAUGCGUAGAUAUGCGGAGGAACACCGAUGGCGAAGGCAAUCCCCUGGGCCCGUACUGACGCUCAUGCACGAAAGCGUGGGGAGCAAACAGG
rnacentral:rRNA from 1 species